rnacentral:lncRNA from 10 species
GAAAUCCCUAAAGUCAUCAGCCCCAUAUGUAACUGCAAUAAAGAAGGCAAAAAGAAAGCUGGGUUGUGAUACCAGGAGAGAGUAUAGUCAGAGUUUAACAGAAAGCAUUACUUUUUUUUAAAAAAGAACGUUUUAUUACUCAAAACCACUGUUCAGCUACUCAUCUGCUAUUGCUGGCCCUUCUAUAGGCAACAGAAAAGUAAUUACUCAUGAACAGGACCACAAUCCCCUCAGGUGUCAACUCACAGCAUUAUAUCCCAUAAAGUGGUUUGGAGCAAUUACUGAU